UACGUAGGGUGCAAGCGUUUAAUCGGAAUUACUGGGCGUAAAGCGUGCGCAGGCGGUUAUGCAAGACAGAGGUGAAAGCCCUGGGCUCAACCUGGGAACUGCAGUGGAUACUGGCGGACUAGAGUGUGAUAGAGGAUGGUGGAAUUCCCGGUGUAGCGGUGAAAUGCGUAGAGAUCGGGAGGAACACCAGUGGCGAAGGCGGCCAUCUGGAUCAACACUGACGCUGAGGCACGAAAGCGUGGGGAGCAAACAGG
rnacentral:rRNA from 1 species